rnacentral:rRNA from 1 species
GAUGAACGCUGGCGGCGUGCCUAAUACAUGCAAGUCGAACGCACAGCGAAAGGUGCUUGCACCUUUCAAGUGAGUGGCGAACGGGUGAGUAACACGUGGACAACCUGCCUCAAGGCUGGGGAUAACAUUUGGAAACAGAUGCUAAUACCGAAUAAAACUUAGUGUCGCAUGACACAAAGUUAAAAGGCGCUUCGGCGUCACCUAGAGAUGGAUCCGCGGUGCAUUAGUCAGUUGGUGGGGUAAAGGCCUACCAAGACAAUGAUGCAUAGCCGAGUUGAGAGACUGAUCGGCCACAUUGGGACUGAGACACGGCCCAAACUCCUACGGGAGGCUGCAGUAGGGAAUCUUCCACAAUGGGCGAAAGCCUGAUGGAGCAACGCCGCGUGUGUGAUGAAGGCUUUCGGGUCGUAAAGCACUGUUGUAUGGGAAGAACAGCUAGAAUAGGAAAUGAUUUUAGUUUGACGGUACCAUACCAGAAAGGGACGGCUAAAUACGUG